rnacentral:tRNA from 1 species
GGACCCGUAGCUCAGUUGGUUAGAGCAGCUGACUCAUAAUCAGCUGGUCCCAGGUUCGAGUCCUGGCGGGUCCA